GUGCUCGAUUUGGCAACACACAUACUAAAAAUUGGAUCAAUAAGAAAAGAUUAGCAUGCUCCCUGUGCAAGGGUGAUUUGCAAAUUAAUUAAAUGAUCCAUAUUUUU